rnacentral:rRNA from 1 species
AUUGAACGCUGGCGGCAUGCCUAACACAUGCAAGUCGAGCGAGCGGCGGACGGGUGAGUAAUGUCUGGGAAACUGCCUGAUGGAGAGGGAUAACUACUGGAAACGGUAGCUAAUACCGCAUUCCAUGCGAUUUGCCCUGAGGGGAUUAGCUAGUGGGUGGGGUAACGGCUCACCUAGGGGACGAUCCAUAGCUGGUCUGAGAGGAUGACCAGCCACACUGGAACUGAGACACGGUCCAGACUCCUACGGGAGGCAGCAGUGGGGAAUAUUGCACAAUGGGCGCAAGCCUGAUGCAGCAAUGCCGCGUGAGUGAAGAAGGCCUUCGGGUUGUAAAGCACUUUCAGCGGGGAGGCGUUACCCGCAGAAGAAGCACCGGCUAACUCCGUGCCAGCAGCCGCGGUAAUAC